UGCCAUAGAGUUAUCUAUGGCAACACUUUAUUGGGGAAAAAAUACUAUUGCAAUGCUUUUUCAUUUUCCUCCUCAAUAUUCCCAAAAAUUAAGGAAAUAUAAACAUUGUGUCCACAAUUUCAUUGAUUUUUCAUUAAGCUUCGACAACCUAAUUUCACUAUACUCCGACCAUAUUUCAUUAUGCUUCGACUAAUUCACUCUUAAAUCAACCACCUAAUUCAAUCGUUCUUCUUCUUCUCUACAUUAUCAACCUCACUCUCAUCCUUCUAGAGACUUCAGUUUUAUGAACAUAGAUGAAAUUCUCAAAAAUAUUUAUUCUGAUUCUGACCCAUUUGCUUCUAACCCCACCGCUACCUUUACCGUCACCGUUGUUGUCGUUGUUAAUCCUGUUGCCAUGGCCGCCCGUGGUGGUGAUGGUGGUGGGGGUUAUGGAGCCCAGUUAGACUAUGGAUGAGGUAUGGAGGAAGAUUGUAGCAGGGGUAGGGGUGGGGGGAGUAGGGAGCCAGAGUUGACUUUGGCGCACAGUGAUCUGACUUCAUUGUGCUCCGAUCAAUAUUGCUCCGAUCGUUGCUGCUCCGACUUUAAUUUUAGCUCCUUAUAUUUUGCUUGUACUAAUGCUACUAUAAUAUUUUAAUUUUCAAACCUUGGAAAUACAAGGAAAGCAUUCUGAAGCAGUGGUGGAACUAUUCAAAAUUUAUAUCAUUCACAAGAUAUUUCCUCCUGAAGAUUUCUCUGUUCAUAUCUCUUCAUUUUGCAUACUUCUAUUAUGUUCGUCUGAUUUAUGCUCUGUUUGUGUAUCUCAUAGUGUGUUCUAUUUUAAUUCUUUUAGAAGUGUCUUAGCAUUGAGCCAUUGAUAUAUUUUAAAAAUAAGAGAAUCCAGGAAAAAUAAUAUUUAUAACUUAUUGUUGAUCCCAAUUUCUGAUUGAGUAUAAUUUACUAUCUGAAAAAAAUAGCUAGCGAUCAUCCUAGAUUAUGGACUAUUUACCAUUUGUAGUACUUUUUCUAGUUAUCACUAUUUUAAGGUGCUAUUGGACUUUGCACCGCAGUUUCAGACUAUUUCAUGCUAUUUAUUAUUUUAUUGGCUAUGUUUAUAGUCUGAGAUGGAUAUGGUGGCUCGUGUACUUAAGAAAUACUUAAAACUAGACCAACGGAAGUUCCAAAUGAACAGUCUUCUACGUGUGUAUGGUUAUGAGACCAGGAGAAGUGUGGCUGAAGCAUUGGGUCUGGUAUGUCUAGUUUAUUACUUUCUCUCGCUAUCUAGUAGAUCUUGAAUUUUUUGUUCAUUGUUGUUGUGCUUAUACUUGAAUGACAUUUCCAAUUAUGAAGUGUUGACUUGCCAAUUUCACCAGUUCUUGUGCUAUGCAAGAGAAUUUUACCUAGAGUUGUGUAAAAUAGAUCUUAACAAGCAAUGUGGAGAAGCAUCAGUUUUAUGCUCAGUUUGUACUCUGUGCUAUUUCAUAUUCCAAGAAAAUUUACCUGCUCUAAUUUGAGUUUCUUAUCAAAAAUAAUUUUCUACUCUCGUCAAUCCUUUCCUUGAGGCUGGAGCAAAAAAAUAUAGAAGUUUAUCUUUCCCAAUUAUUUUUGUGUUUUGUUUCACAUAACUAAUAGGAGUGGAAAAAAAGUUCGAUUCUGGAUGUGAUAGUGUCUUGUAGCGUGGCUGUUGGGCAGUGGUGGCUCGUCUCGUUGGAUGUAUAGGGAACAUUAAAAGAUCUAAGCAAGGAACUGAGGAAAAUUUCUGUCGGACUAAAUGAACUGGGAACUCUUGACAACCCUGUUAAGGCAUCUGUUGAAGGAUCCCCUAAUUAUAGUGUAGAUGUGGAAAAGGUAAUUAUCGCUACUAUGGCAGUAUUACAAAAGGAAGGUCAUCCACUUUAUGGAGAGCACAAUCUUAUAGGGUUUAGUAACAGCUAGAAGUUUUGGCCUGGUUACUUAAACUGCAAGUCUUCUGCUAUUCAUCAGGCAUCGAGGGACGAAAGGUGUGAUUCUGUAGAUGCACCUUUUUUAAAGGGAUGAAAAAAGGCAGCGAGGGACGAAAGGUGUGAUUCUGUACAUGCACCUUUUUUUAAAGGGAUGAAAAAAAGACAGUGAGGGACGAAAGAUAUCAUGGAACAAGGGAAAGUAAAGAAAUAACAAUUACAGAGAGAGUCCAAUUUGAUAUAUUCCAGGCUGUGCAGAGGGAUUAUAUGCUAAGUUCUUACUCACUAAAUUCUAUCUCAACACAUUUUCUUAACUAGCAGUACUUGGCAAUUCUUUUUGAUAAGGUUGUUGGUGAGACUCGAUCCAAGGACUUCUCGCCUUUGAGAAGAAGCUCGAAGAAAAAGGCAUUAUUCUAUGCAUGUUAUUUCACCAAGGCUAAUAAUGCUUGACUCUUAUUAGCAAGAACAUGGUCAGAGUUCAACAGGACCUUUGAAGCCAACAAGUUCUUAAAGUAGCUAUCAAAUUUUGUUGGGGAAACAAAUUCCAAGGAGAAAAGGUUCUGGUCACCAUCGGAUUUUAGGCAUCUAUUGCGCAAUGGGGCAGCAUAAAAGUCAUCCAGAGUUGAGUCUGGUUAAUUGUUUCCUAACUGGUUGUAGAGAUUUUGUCUGAAGCUGGUACACCUUGAAUUUCCAAUUGUGUGAUUGCCUGCAUUACAAUUUAUAAGUGUUAACUACGAUUUCACCUGAGAUAACUAGUCUAGCUAAAAUUAUGCAAGAAAAAAAGAGUAACAUUUACCAGACAAAACUACAAGGUCAACAAGAUCAAGUCCUUGUCUCUUGAACCUUGAGAGAAUGGCAUCAAAUGUGUUGUUUAGAGCAGGAAUAUUGUUGUUGGAGCCACAUAAACUGGCACUUAUGGAGUCCCUUCUUCCUAAUGGAACCUUCUCGAUAAUCUUUCUGUAUGAACGAAAAAGCAAGCACCAAGAUAUCAGCACAAGAGACAGUUUGAGAGCAUUCCUUCUCUAGUGCAGAUUUAAUGUCAUCAAUGACAUUAAAUCCACGAGCUAUAUUCAUGUUGGUGUUUGAUCCAUUUUCUAAUACUAUACCUCUGCUAUUAUCCAAAAUCAAAGAUGCAUCACAUCCCUACAUGACAAUAGCUAGCCAUCAUUUUUCACACCUUUGUUAGCACAAAUACAUUCUGAAGCAUCAUUUGUUUUAGAUUGACCACAUCUUCUGUUCAAAAUAUGUUAAAAUAGUAGGUAGAAAGUUUACUUCAUUGCGCUUAUGAGUAGCGCUCUUUAUUAUUUAUGAGGAGUGUUUGGACCCCAAACGUUGUUUUGUAUCCAAAUAGUAUUUAUCUAUACUUUCUUAUUUUGUGA